rnacentral:lncRNA from 1 species
CAUCCUCCUCAUCUCCGGCAACAGUAGCAGCUCGCCCCCUUCGAGCAGCAGCCGGUGGUGGGCUACUCACCCCUUCCCCUCUCAGGCCAAGGAGCGGCUCGUCGGUGUGAUCCGUGCCUCCGUCCCCUCUCAAGGUCCUAGCUCGCCAGCGGCAAGCCGGUGGUGGGCUUCUCCUUCGCCUCUCACGCUCAGCAUCAAGGUAUACUACGAUCCUCCCAUUCCCCCCUCUCCCAUAUAGAUUUAUGUAUGCACAUUCGUCAAAGAUCUGCUAGGGCAGAUGAGGGAUCGAGAAGAAGGCUGGGCCUUAAUGAAGCGAUUCAUGGAGACAUUAAAUCAGAGCAAUUGCACACAGGACACUAAUGGGGUACCAUCUGAAAUCAUUGAAAUAUCAGUUGGAUUACGCGGUGACGGCAAUCACAUGUGGUAUUAUCGUCAUAUAUUGGCACGUGAUUUAUAGAUCUAGAUUCUUCUUUUGGAUGACUCGUGCUAUUUACAGAGUGUUCCUAGACUAAUAUGAGAACCAAUAAAAUUCCUAGAUUAAUAUGAGAACCAAUAAAAUUCAUGGAUAACCAUCCAUGAAAACAGGAACAAAGUGCAUGCUUAGAUAGCUGAUGCCUGAUGCUAAUCAGAACCUGAAGUCAAAUGAUGCCAUGUUUUAGCUUGUAGAUCAUUAAUCUGUUGAUGCUUUGGUUACAUUGAUUCUGAGACAUGCCAAGGUUGUGUUAUCUGUAUUAUAAAGUAUGCAGCACAAGGGGUUUGAAUGGUUUAGUGGGGAGAGUGGACCCUUAGUGACUUAGUGCCUAUAAGAUUAUGUAUACCAAUUUUGGCACUAUCAAAAAGUUGCCAGUAUUUGGCAAAUCAAGUGUCAAGUUUUUGUCUCAUGCCAAAUUUUGGCCCCAAUCCAAUCCCAAAAUCUUUAUAUUUUUGUAGUAUUCUGUUGUAAAUGUUCAUUGCUAGUAUUCUGCUAUAAUUGUCAUUCUAUAUGCAGUAUAUAUGAAUACUAAACGAGUGCAGCGUUGUUCUUUUAUGUUCUUGAUCUCUCAAUGGUGCUCAUUGAAGUCUUUCACCCUGCUGAUUGGAAUCCAAGUCGAUUGAAAGCAUGGUCAAUUAAAGGAGCAGAGGGAAGCAUCAAUGCUACACUUGAAGCUGAAUCAAAGUUAGGUUUCUCUAACACCAGAAAGACUUUUUCAUCUGCAGUUCUUUUCUAAAGCUAUUUGCAUGCUAGGUUGUGUUACAAGAUUGUAUUUUUAUGCUUGUGUACACUCUGAGUUUGCCCAUCCGGGUCUUUUUUUACAUGUAAGCUCUUUAAUAUUACAAAAUCUGCCAUUCUGCAUGAAAUGUUUAAGCACAAUAUUUGUUUUGAAAGAAGUUUUGAUUUCUCUGAUUUAGCAGAAACUCAAUCAAAUUAAUUUCAGUACAAAUGCAUGAAAGUUAGAAUAGUAUGUGCUUGUCGAAUUUUAAUGUAAGGUCAAUCACAUGUGUAAUGUGUUGGUCGAAUUUUGUAAAUAAAACAAUAUCAGGCUUUGUGAGCUCGUCAAGCCUCCGAUGAGUCAAGCUUGAGCUUGAGCUCAUCCCUAAGCUCGCGAGCUGAGCUAGAGCUCACCAUUUGGCUCGUGAUGCAAAUCAAGCUCAAGACGAACUUCAUUAUAUUCGCGUGUGCUUUGUUGUUUCCCUUACAAUCAUUUAGUCCACCAAAGAACAUAAUUAUUUCCAAUUCCUUGCCUUCUGAUGUGAACUAUAAACUUGUUCAUGUUUUUGUAGAUGGGUGAUGCUCUGUCAACAGAAGCAUCCAAAGUUCAUAUGGACAGAAGAAGUGUUUAGCAAAGGCUUCUGUUGUUUACGACAGCAAGGGUGAAGCUCAUUUGCCCGCAAGAUAAUUUUAG